rnacentral:lncRNA from 1 species
GACUUCAUAUGGUGAUUCCAGGCCUCAGUGAUUGACAAGGAUUUUGAGAAUUGAAAAGUAUUGCAUGCCCAGCCCCAGAGUUACUCAUCUCUGCUUCCACCCUUCAAGAACUAAGGAUUAUCACUCAUGCAUUUAGAUCGACAUUAUUGGAAUUAAAUUUGAAGCAAUUGAUGGCUUCAAAUGUACUUGUAAGUUAGAUGAUUAAGCCAUACUAUUCCAAGUACCAAGUAUGAAAUCCUCGACUCUUUGCUAAAUGGGAUGCAAUUUUUAGUAGUAGAAUAUGAUUUUAUUCUUAACUAAGUAUAGAAGGCUAUACUGCAACUCUCAACAGGUACAUCUAUUUUGGGUUAUAAUGUGGUGUAUAAAUUUAAGUCUGAUAUCUUUCUCACUUUGAAGAGUAAUGCCAUAAUGCCUAAAAUGAAUGUGCUAAAACAUUGCCAUGUUGGAGUGCAGGACAAUAGCUUUAAGAAGGUGCCUCUUGUUCAAUACUUUUGGAAUAAUAAUUCCAAGGUAUACAAGUGAUAAUGGCCCGCUAUUUUGCAAACUUUUGUAGUUAAGAGUUAGGAUCGAAUAAUUUAAAAAUCAAAAGUAUGAAGAUACGGUGUUAUUUGAAGCUAUAUAUUUACUGUCAGAUCCAUUUGGCCUUCUCAAUUUAAUUUCCUAACUUAUUAUCAUAAAAAUAACCAUAGCCAACAAACCUAAUGCCAUCCAUAGGUUGAAGAUGCCAAAGCUAGUAAUCCAUCUUGGUGUUUGUACUGGAGAUUUUAGGUUCAAAACAUACCUUCAUUAGAGAAGGUGGAGGGGUGGGGGGGGGGGUUGUUAGGGGUAUACGCAGGAUGGCUAACCCCAUUUUUUUGCUCAU